UAACUACUCCCUCUGUCCCAAAUUUCUUGUCUUAGAUUUGUCUAGAUACGGAUGUAUCUAAUACUAAAAUGUGACUUGAUAGAUACAUCCGUAUCUAGACAAAUCUAAGACAAGAAUUUUGGGAUGGAGGGAGUACUUU
rfam:Triticum aestivum genome assembly, contig: Triticum_aestivum_CS42_TGACv1_scaffold_346672_4DL